rnacentral:rRNA from 1 species
GAUGAACGCUGGCGGCGUGCCUAAUACAUGCAAGUCGAGCGAACGGACGAGAAGCUUGCUUCUCUGAUGUUAGCGGCGGACGGGUGAGUAACACGUGGAUAACCUACCUAUAAGACUGGGAUAACUUCGGGAAACCGGAGCUAAUACCGGACAAUAUUUUGAACCGCAUGGUUCAAAAGUGAAAGACGGUCUUGCUGUCACUUAUAGCUGGAUCCGCGCUGCAUUAGCUAGUUGGUAAGGUAACGGCUUACCAAGGCAACGAUGCAUAGCCGACCUGAGAGGGUGAUCGGCCACACUGGAACUGAGACACGGUCCAGACUCCUACGGGAGGCAGCAGUAGGGAAUCUUCCGCAAUGGGCGAAAGCCUGACGGAGCAACGCCGCGUGAGUGAUGAAGGUCUUCGGAUCGUAAAACUCUGUUAUUAGGGAAGAACAUAUGUGUAAGUAACUGUGCACAUCUUGACGGUACCUAAUCAGAAAGCCACGGCUAACUACGUG